AAUCUUCCACAUUGGACGAAAGUCUGAUGCAGCACCGCCGCGUGAGCGAAGAAGGUUUUCGGAUCGUAAAGCUCUGUUGUGAGGGAAGAACAAGUACGGGAUUAACUGCGCGUACGUUGACGGUACCUCCGCAGAAAGCCACGGCUAACUACGUGAGAGCAACCGCGGUAAUACAUAGGUGGCAAGCGUUGUCCGGAAUUAUUGGGCGUAAAGCGCGGGAUGGCGGUCCUUUAAGUAUGAUGUGAAAGCCCACGGCUAAACCGUGGAGGGUAAUUGGAAACUGGAGGACUUGAGUACAGAAGAGGAAGGCGGAAUUCCAGGUGUAGCGGUGAAAUGCGUAGAGAUGUGGAGGAACACCAGUGGCGAAGGCGGCUUUCUGGUCUGUAACUGACGCUGAGGCGCGAAAGCGUGGGGAGAAAACA
rnacentral:rRNA from 1 species